UGGGGAAUUUUGCACAAUGGGGGAAACCCUGAUGCAGCGACGCCGCGUGAUUUAGAAGGCCUUCGGGUUGUAAAAAUCUUUUUUAUGGGAUGAAAAUGACAGUACCAUAAGAAUAAGGUCCGGCUAAAUACGUGCCAGCAGCCGCGGUAAUACGUAUGGACCGAGCGUUGUCCGGAAUCAUUGGGCGUAAAGGGUACGUAGGCGGCCCAGUAAGUUAGAAGUGAAAUAAUAUAGCUCAACUAUAUAAAGCUUUUAAAACUGCUAGGCUUGAGAGAUGGAAGGGAAAGUGGAAUUCCUAGUGUAGCGGUGAAAUGCGCAGAUAUUAGGAGGAACACCGGUGGCGAAGGCGGCUUACUGGACGAAAACUGACGUUGAGGCUCGAAGGCGUGGGGAGCAAACAGG
rnacentral:rRNA from 1 species